UAGGGANUCUUCCGCAAUGGACGCAAGUCUGACGGAGCAACGCCGCGUGAGUGAAGAAGGUUUUCGGAUCGUAAAACUCUGUUGUUAGAGAAGAACAAGUGCUAGAGUAACUGUUAGCGCCUUGACGGUAUCUAACCAGAAAGCCACGGCUAACUACGUGCCAGCAGCCGCGGUAAUACGUAGGUGGCAAGCGUUGUCCGGAUUUAUUGGGCGUAAAGCGAGCGCAGGCGGUUCCUUAAGUCUGAUGUGAAAGUCCCCGGCUCAACCGGGGAGGGUCAUUGGAAACUGGGGAACUUGAGUGCAGAAGAGGAGAGUGGAAUUCCAUGUGUAGCGGUGAAAUGCGUAGAUAUAUGGAGGAACACCAGUGGCGAAGGCGACUCUCUGGUCUGUAACUGACGCUGAGGCUCGAAAGCGUGGGUAGCAAACAGGAUUAGAUACCCUGGUAGUCCACGCCGUAAACGAUGAGUGCUAAGUGUUGGAGGGUUUCCGCCCUUCAGUGCUGCAGUUAACGCAUUAAGCACUCCGCCUGGGGAGUACGACCGCAAGGUUG
rnacentral:rRNA from 1 species